CCCUAAGCACAAAUUCAUAUGAGCGGCCUCAAUCUUAAUUUCUCAUCCACGUUCUUCACUGCCUCUCUGCCUCUAACCCAAUCCCAAAUUCCAAACCCUAAAUUUCCUCAAUUCCAGCAAUACUCUUUCAGAAAUCGACAGGCUAAACGAUGCCGUCUCGUAGUACCACAUGCUAGCUCUUCCAAGCUUCCGCUCCUCCCCUUUGAUAUAAAGCAGGAUUCUUUAUGAGGUCAUGAGGAGAUCACGUGGUGAGCAUUGGAGGGAAGAAAAGGCUUUAGUUCUCAAUCAUGAAGACUUUUGAAGAAGGUUGAGAUAAGUUUGCUGAAUUUUAAUCUUGGUUUUGCUCCUUUUUUUUUGUUGACUCUCUUUGGUUUUAAUUAUUGUAGAUUAGGAUUGGGUGUGGACAAACCGGGCCACACAUGAGUGUUGCUAGAGUCCAUUGUUUAGGUCAAUGUGUGAAUGAUCUUUGUUAUUUCAUGGUUUAGAAUGAAAUUUUGAUUUGAUUUAACCUGACUUUUUAGCCAAU